rnacentral:rRNA from 1 species
UACGUAGGGUGCAAGCGUUAAUCGGAAUUACUGGGCGUAAAGCGUGCGCAGGCGGUUUUGUAAGUUUGUCGUGAAAGCCCCGGGCUCAACCUGGGAAUUGCGAUGAAGACUGCAAGGCUUGAAUCUGGCAGAGGGGGGUAGAAUUCCACGUGUAGCAGUGAAAUGCGUAGAGAUGUGGAGGAACACCGAUGGCGAAGGCAGCCCCCUGGGUCAAGAUUGACGUUCAUGCACGAAAGCGUGGGGAGCAAACAGG